GUGCAUGGGAUUCUUCCGUCCUAAGUGCAGGACUCUGCACGUGUCCUUGUUGAACCUCAUCAGAUUUCUUUUGGCCCAAUUCUCUAAUUUGUCUAGGGCCCUCUGUAUCCUAUCCCUACCCUCCAGGGUAUCUACCUCUCCUCCCAGUUUAGUAUCAUCUGCAAACCUCCUGAGGGUGCAGUCCACGCCAUCCUCCAGAUCAUUAAUGAAGAUAUUGAGUUGCCUUACAAAGGAGAUCAGUGCCAAAGAGGCCAAUUCAAUUAAAAUGUAAGUGGCCUAUUUUCAACAGUUGACAAGAAGGGGUGAAUAUCAAGGGAGGGAAAAUUACUUUUGUAGUGCUAACGAGGCCAACGCAAUCAAGGUGGACAUCCGCCCAUUUCCAAUAGUUGACAAGAAGGUGUGAGUUUCAGCAGAAAGAAAAUUACUUUUUGUAGUGACCCAGCUACUCCCAGUCAAGGGAAGAAAUGCAGAGAGGCAGCCAUGUGAUUUGGGGCUGGCAGGGGUGGGGAUACGUGUGGAAAGUUCUUAGUUGCCGUGCGCUGUACCUUAUCGACAGGACCUUGGGGGGCCUGAGAGACACCUCCCUAUAUCUGUAGCGAGUGGACCGCCAGGCGGGGCAGGGUAACGCAAGGAACUUAGCACCAGAAUGAUAAGCUGAACAAAGCAAAGGCAGAAGCUGGGUCUCAAGAAGCGUUUCCUGACAUUGAGAACUUGCAGGAGUGAAAUAAUCUCCCCAGGGAUAGAGGCCGCUUCUUGGUUUAUUUAAGAAUGGGCUGGCCUAAGAACUUAAAAACACACCAUUAUGUUGAGGACAGUCCUGCUUGGGCCAGGAGACUGGGCUAGGUGUGACUGAAGAGGCCUCUGCCCUCUAAUGUACUGUGAAUGUCCGCAUUCCUGCCCAGCGGCGUCUGGCUGGCAGGGCUCCUGCGCACAUGGGACAGGGCUCCGGUGGCUGUUUGCACUUUUGCAAAUGUUGGCCAUGCUGGGCAGCCACCUCCCAGAGUCGUGGGUCCAACAGGAGAAAUGGGUCAUGGAUUAAAGGAAUCUGGUGAGCACCACCUAGUCCCUCCCUUGAAGUCAGUUGUCCAUCACGCAGCCAGUACCCAAUUGGCGCAACUAACAGCCUUUGCUCAAAGGAGGCCAAGGACUAGACAGCAGGUGUGGCCAUUGCUCAAAACUAGGGGCACUGGCAAAGCUCUGGUUCAGGGGAGCCCAGGACUGCGUAACGAAUCUACUGGUCAUUCCCAUUGACAGUGGCCAGCACCAGAUACUUAGAGGAAGAUACAAGAAUAGUGAUGAUUGUCAUUUGUGGGAUAAGCUGCCCAUAGAGGAAGUUUCUUCUUUAGCCACUCUGUUAGUGGUUGGUUCAUGCCCCAGAGCACCAGGGUUUAUACCCCCUAAAAUGUUUCUUUGCUAAUCUAGCUCUGGAUGUUCUCAUCAUCCGUCAAAAUGUCUAAUUUGCUUCAAUCAUCUGAAGCUUUUGGCCUCAGUAUUAUCUUGUGGCAAUGGGUUCCACAUGCUUUUUGUGAGUUGUGUAAAAAAGUAUUUUUGUUUCUCAGCUGUAAUUUUACCACCUUCAUUUUCAUGGACUGCCCCCUUGAUCUUGUAUUACAAGGAAUGGGAAGCAGGAGGACCUAAUUUACCACCUCUUUACCUUCAUCUUUUUAGUUCUAUCAUGUGGCUUCUUUUUUAUCUCCUCCCCAACUAAACAGCCUGAAUGGUUGUUGUCUCUCUUCUUUCUAGGCCUUGCAGUCUUUACAUCCCUGUUCGGAUGGGGUGCAGAAGUGAACGCAGUACUCCAGACCCUCGCUCCAGUCUUUGGCGGCAUUGUUGUGGCGGGGGGGCAGAGGGGGUUGUCCUUCAGUGCCGAAGACCGGAGCGAGUCAAGGACGCAACUCCGAAGUGCUGCUGAAGACCCGGAGCACCGCCGGAAACAUCUGCAAAGCCCCAAUCCGCUGAACUGUCGCAGGUGGCUAGUGCUCCGGGGAUCCAGAUUGUUUGCACCAGCUACCAGAGUCCAGCGUUCCUGGCAGUGAAGAAUUUUCAAAGCUGUUUGUGGCUUUAAUUGCUCGGCCCUGGGCUGAGCUGGUGUAUGUGAUCAGAUGCUGAGUGGGGGCUGAGAAGUGAAGGCUCUGAUCUGUGAAUUAUAUCCCUGUACCCCUUGCCUGGGGCCAUUCCUGGAGCGGGCUGUCAGCACUUGGCUGAGGGAGGGCAUGACGCCAGCUUCUCUUAAAGAAGUGAUUGUUAGGCCUUGCCGAGGGAAUGGUCUCUUUGAAGCUGAGGCUUUGUCCAUUUGUCACUGGGUUUUGGAUUGGAAGGACCCUUCGACUGAGGCAGCUUGUUGAUAAGGUGUUGACGAGACCACUCUCCAGCACUCCCUGCUUUGUGGAGGGCGAUUUGACAGCUCCCCAGGCCUCAGUGGACUGUAGCUGUCGGCUGUAGUGUUGCAUGCUGAGCCCUUGUGAAAACGAGGCCAUAGGUUGCCCCCGGCUGGGCAUGGACACACGGAAGCACUCCGACUGACUGGGCUUUUGUGGAAACAGAGGCCUCGCUGCCAGGGUGAAGAGGGCGUUUUCACUAGGUUGGAAUGAGAUUUGGAAAGAGAUUCGCUAGAAAAGGGUCUUUCUGAAAUGCAGAGAAAAUGGCUGAUUAGCUGUUGUGCGCUUUGCCUCCCUCUUUCA